AUUGAACGCUGGCGGCAUGCCUUACACAUGCAAGUCGAACGGCAGCACGGGUGCUUGCACCUGGUGGCGAGUGGCGAACGGGUGAGUAAUACAUCGGAACGUACCUUAUCGUGGGGGAUAACAAAUCGACAAAUUUGCUAAUACCGCAUAAUACUCUGAGGAGGAAAGCGGGGGACUCGUAAGAACUCCGUGCGAUUAGAGCGGCCGAUGGCUGAUUAGCUAGUUGGUGCGGUAAAGGCCCACCAAGGAAACGAUCAGUAGUAGGUCUGAGAGGAUGAUCUGCCACACUGGAACUGAGAAACGGUCCAGACUCCUACGGGAGGCAGCAGUGGGGAAUUUUGGACAAUGGAGGCAACCUUGAUCCAGCAAUGCCGCGUGAGUGAAGAAUUCCUUCGGAUUGUAAAGCUCUUUUGUCAGUGAAGAAAACUUUAAUAAUAACACUAUUAAAGCAUGACGGUAACUGAAGAAUAAGGACCGGCUAACUACGUGCCAGCCGCCGCGGUAA
rnacentral:rRNA from 1 species